GAAAUGCGAUAAGUAAUGUGACUUGCAGAAUUCAGUGAAUCAUCGAAUCUUUGAACGCACCUUGCGCUGCUUGGUAUUCCGCGGAGCAUGCGUGUUUGAGUGUCAUGAAACUCUCAAACCCAAGUUUUGGAAUUCGGUCCAUGCUUGAGUUUGAAUUUGGAUGUUUGCCGGUGAUGAACCGACUCAUCUUAAAAGUAUUAGCUGGAUCUGUCUCUAUGACUGGUUUGACUUGGCAUAAUAAGUAUUUUGCUGAGGACAUCUUCGGAUGGCCAGUACCUAGACUAUUGUCUGCUAAAUAAACCAUCGCUCUAAGUGCAUAUUUGCAUGUUACUUUUAGUGUAACUUUGACAUCUGGCCUCAAAUCAGUUAGGACUACCCGCUGAACUUAA
rnacentral:misc_RNA from 1 species